rnacentral:lncRNA from 1 species
CUAAACUAAAUUCAACUUCUUUGAUUUCAGAACUGAUGAGUUGAUUAAAAAAUAAUCUGUGAGAAAUUUGCCCAGUGCACUGUGCUGACCAUCACACACAGAUUGAACACCAUUAUUGACAGCGACACAAUAAUGGUUUUGGAUUCAGAGAGCCUGGAAGAAUAUGAUGAGCCGUAUGUUUUGGUGCAAAAUAGAGACAGACUAUUUCACAAGAUGGUGCAAGAGUUAGACAAGAGCGAGGCCACCGCCCUCACUGAAAGAGCAAGACAGCUUCUUUGAGAGUGCAGUUGAAAAUAGACUAUUUAAAAGGAAUGAAGGUCUUGCAGCUCUACAUACAUAAUCUGUGCUAAAUCCUGUUGUUGGUGGAAGUCAAAUGCUUAGGCACCAGUUGUGUUGUCCAACCCAAGUUCCUGUGCUUGAGGUAAAGUGAGGCCAAACAAA